GCUGCCAGGAUCCAGCGGGGGGAAAAGCGGAGAGCGGCGUUCACGGACGGUCGGGCGGAGACAUCAUUGCCCUGCUUGAUGUCUCCGAUCUGCGAGCGGGCGCUCGGGGGAAGGUUGAGCCUUUGGAUGCCGGUGAGCAGAGUGCUUUCCUGUGCCCUGUGUUUUAAAGAACAAGCCGAGGUCCUGCAUGUGUUUCUGGCUUGGUGUUUGCAGCCCCUGACAGCCAGCUCUGUCUGACAGAGCUGUUCAAGUGAGCACUAGCCAGUGCUUGCACCCUGCUCCCAGAAGGAGAUUUCACAUUUGAAAGGAGCGCACCACAGAGGAGGUUGUCCAGAAGAUGCCCAUGGGUGUUCUCUUGCAUGGCAAGUACAAGAGCAUCUGUGGGAAAGGGUGUCAGCUGGGAGUGAGAAGCCCUAGUGAGGCAGCUGCAGAGAUGAAACCUCUCCUUGGGAAGAAGUGCAGUUUUGUGUCAUGUUUCACAAAGCAGAAGAGAGCAGCAGGUCGAUGUUUCCACACCAGCCCUGAUUAGCAUGGAUGUCCCUAUUUCAUGUACAACACUUCCCAGCACACAGUCUCUGUUUCCCCAGACCAACUCUUCUGUAGCUGCUGGGAGAACAUGGAAAGCUGGAAGCAAAACCCAAAAGGCUCACAAUUAAAGCUGCAUCUCUUACAAAAGGCUGAGAGCUAAGAGCACAAAAGAUUGAAGUGUUUGUGACAGUCUUGGCAUCUGAGGAGUACAAGCAGCAAGACUGAGGACCCUCUCAUGUAAGGAAACAGUGUCCAGCCUUUGUUCCCCUUUCCUUGCCUGAUGGGUGUGUUCAGAUGGAUGUGCACCAAGCAUGGCCUCAGUAGCGAGAGAUGAGCUCUUCCGCCAGGCCAGCAGAAGGAGCACAGGAUAUGCAGCUGCAGCCCAUCAGUACAGGAUGCUCCUGCACCUUCAAAAAAGUGUAAGCUAGUGGGAGUGAGUGACAACUUCAUACAUCCAGACUUCUCGCUGCCAGGUUAGAAUGGGCAUUUAACUUACCAUCCAUUAAAUCUUCAGCUUCCACUUCUCUCUCCCACCUGGACAGAGACUGGUGACCAGUGCCCUCAGCACAGCCACCUGAGGCUACUUUUCAGCAGAAAGCAGGCUUGAUGCCUCCUGCACUGCUCUGACAGUGAGCAAGGAGUUGCUCAAUCCUCCCUGUGCCAGGUCCCUCCUACUACAAGGACUGGAGGGCAGGGAUUGUUAAGAGAUACUGGAGUGCCGAUGGCUUUUAGGACUCCUGCCAAGACCACCCCCUCCCACCAGUUAAACCAUCAUCCAUAAAAUAACACUGGGAGACAGAUACAGCCUUUCCCACCGGACAGCUUGUCUGCAGAGAAUCCCCCCAGGAGCAGUGGGAGGCAGCUGCGGUGCCAGGGAUGCAGCACCCAGCAGAGCCUGGCUUUGCUCGCUGGCUGUGUUUAAAUUCAGAGCUUAAAUGCUGCCCCAGAGUUGCGUGACUGGCAAAGACCAUCAGCCAGAACAAGUCUCUGCUGAAAUUUGCGCUGUCAAGUCCUUUGCAGCAUCACAGUGACCCAGAAAGCUGAUGUUAUUUCACAUUAUUUCAAGUGGGGUUUUAAGAAAACACAAAACACACCCCAGAACCCCAUGCAUUUUAGUAUUUAAUCAACGAGUCAUCCUCUGGUAGCUGGGGAUGCUGUAUUCAGGUUGCUGAAAGAAAAUAUUUUGACUUCCCAUUUUACAAGCAUAGUCUUUUUCUUCUGUUAUAUGAUGAAAAAUCACUUGGAGACAUCCUGCUUGUUUUCAUGGAGAACUACAGCAGGCAGGGCACUGUAGCAUUCAGCUGUGUGGUACCUGUGUAAAUGUCCAGAAAACUGAGCAGUUUCUCACAAAAUCCACUAUUUUUGUCUGUGGAUGCUGACUUUGCAUUUUUAAGUGGAAAAACAGUAUUAAUCUGAAGAUUUCUCAGUCUUCCUUUUAUUGCCACUAUGAAGCUUUAAAAUUAGAGUGCUAUUUGUAAAGCAGCUGAGAUUCUACUGAAAUGUUCUGUUUUACUGCUAAGUGGAGAAAUGAAGUAUUUCUGCACCAGUAUUCCUUUUAACCAUGACAUACAAACUAACAAGUCUUCUUUUGCAAACACAUUGUUAAAAGGAUUCAAUCUCCAGUUGCUAACAAUUGAGAAUAAACCAUGGUCCUAGCCACAGAAAUUCAAUACUGGAGCAACAACUCUUAUGGUAACUUCAGAGACCAGUCAAAGACACCUGAGGAAAGCCUGAUGUUAAGAGUCCAUCAAUCUUCUGAGCCAGUGUUUCUCUUCUGUCCUUCAGCUACCUGCCUGAAAGCGGAUUUGCAUCCGCUUUCAACAUUUUUCAUUAUUUUCAUGCAGAAUAAAGGAAAAGAUAAUACAGAAAAGCACCUUAUGUUUGAUCGAAGGAAAUGAACAGGAAAGAGAAACAAAGCAUACAAAAUGAACCUUUAUUAAAUGAAAGAAAAUCUGUUUUGUGGGUCAAAUAUGAAAUAGAAUAUACAAAAACUUUACAUCAGAUCUCUUGUCAAACAAAUUAAAUUCUAUCUAGAAUGAAGUAGCACUUGUUCUUUCCAAGACAACACGAAUGGGUGAAUAUGUAUCUUAUGGCAGUACAGGACCACAUAGACUGCUGUGCUAAGUUUCUGGUUACAAAGAAGAAAAGUUAAAAAUCUAAACGAUGUCUCUAAAGAACUCAACUAUUCAACGAAGUAACCUAAACAUGUUGAAUGCUGACCACUAUGUAUUCUCUUACAAGCAAAUGACAGGUGGGUCAAGUGCAGAGUUCACAAAGCUUGCAUAUCACGCUCUCUGUUUCUAUACAAAUAUAAAUAGUUCUUUUUUAUUUCAAAAAUCCUUUUAUUUUUGAUAGCCUUAUUUGUGGAAAAGGAUGACCAGUUUGUCAGGUUCCUGCUGUACUACCCAGACAAUUCCAUCUCCUUUAUCUCCUCCUUUUUUUGAAAAUUGUAACCCAUAAACCACAGCCUGCAAUAUUUUUAGAAACUUGAUAUAUGUUUAAUCACAAGUCUUUGUACCACUGUCCCGUACAUGAAGGUUCUGCAGAGCUCCUAACAUCUUUGGCAUAGCACACCAUGUCCCAUUUAAUACUUUUUUU